rnacentral:rRNA from 1 species
AGAGUUUGAUCCUGGCUCAGGACGAACGCUGGCGGCGUGCUUAACACAUGCAAGUCGAACGAGGAUGAUUCCUUCGGGGAUCAUUCGAGUGGCGGACGGGUGAGUAACGCGUGAACAAUCUGUCCUUCAAAGGGGGAUACCAACUGAAAACAGUUGCUAAUACCGCAUAAGACCACGGUAUCGCAUGGUACUGAGGUAAAAGACGGAAGUCGAUGGAGGGUGAGUUCGCGUCUGAUUAGGCAGUUGGCGGGGUAAAGGCCCACCAAACCGACGAUCAGUAGCCGACCUGAGAGGGUGACCGGCCACAUUGGGACUGAGACACGGCCCAGACUCCUACGGGAGGCAGCAGUGGGGAAUAUUGGGCAAUGGGCGAAAGCCUGACCCAGCAACGCCGCGUGAGGGAAGAAGGUUUUCGGAUUGUAAACCUCUGUCCUAAAGGACGAAGGAAGUGACGGUACUUUAGGAGGAAGCCCCGGCUAACUACGUGCCAGCAGCCGCGGUAAUACGUAGGGGGCGAGCGUUGUCCGGAAUGACUGGGCGUAAAGGGCGUGUAGGCGGCGGCGUAAGUCCGGAGUGAAAGUCCACAUUUCAAGUGUGGAAUUGCUUUGGAUACUGCGAAGCUUGAGUACAGCAGAGGUAAGCGGAAUUCCCGGUGUAGCGGUGAAAUGCGUAGAGAUCGGGAGGAACACCAGUGGCGAAGGCGGCUUACUGGGCUGAUACUGACGCUGAGGCGCGAAAGCGUGGGGAGCGAACAGGAUUAGAUACCCUGGUAGUCCACGCGGUAAACGAUGAAUGCCAGGUGUAGGAGGUAUCGACCCCUUCUGUGCCGGAGUAGACACAAUAAGCAUUCCGCCUGGGGAGUACGGCCGCAAGGUUGAAACUCAAAGGAAUUGACGGGGGCCCGCACAAGCAGCGGAGCAUGUGGUUUAAUUCGACGCAACGCGAAGAACCUUACCAGGUCUUGACAUCCAGUAAAAGCCAUAGAGAUAUGGUGUGUCUUCGGACAUACUGAGACAGGUGGUGCAUGGUUGUCGUCAGCUCGUGUCGUGAGAUGUUGGGUUAAGUCCCGCAACGAGCGCAACCCUUAUUAUCAGUUACUAACGCGUGAUGGCGAGGACUCUGAUGAGACUGCCGGGGACAACUCGGAGGAAGGUGGGGACGACGUCAAAUCAUCAUGCCCCUUAUGACCUGGGCUACACACGUGCUACAAUGGUGACUACAGAGAGCAGCGAGCCCGUGAGGGGGAGCAGAUCUCAAAAAAGUCAUCUCAGUUCGGACUGUGGGCUGCAACCCGCCCACACGAAGUUGGAGUUGCUAGUAAUCGCGAAUCAGAAUGUCGCGGUGAAUACGUUCCCGGGCCUUGUACACACCGCCCGUCACACCAUGGGAGUUGGGAGCACCCGAAGCCGGUGAGUUGACCGAAAGGGGACAGCCGUCGAAGGUGAGACCGAUGACUGGGGUGAAGUCGUAACAAGGUAGCC